AACGAACGCUGGCGGCAUGCCUAACACAUGCAAGUCGAACGAGACCUUCGGGUCUAGUGGCGCACGGGUGCGUAACGCGUGGGAACCUGCCCUUAGGUUCGGAAUAACUCCCCGAAAGGGGUGCUAAUACCGGAUAAUGUCUUCGGACCAAAGAUUUAUCGCCUUUGGAUGGGCCCGCGUUGGAUUAGCUAGUUGGUAGGGUAAAAGCCUACCAAGGCGACGAUCCAUAGCUGGUCUGAGAGGAUGAUCAGCCACACUGGGACUGAGACACGGCCCAGACUCCUACGGGAGGCAGCAGGGGGGAAUAAUGGAAAAUGGGGGAAAGGCUGAUCCAGCAAUGCCGCGGUAGUGAAGAAGGGCUUAGGGUUGUAAAGCUCUUUUACCCGGGAAGAUAAUGACAGGACCGGGAGAAUAAGCUCCGGCUAACUCCGUG
rnacentral:rRNA from 1 species